rnacentral:rRNA from 1 species
UACGUAGGGUGCAAGCGUUAAUCGGAAUUACUGGGCGUAAAGCGUGCGCAGGCGGUGAUGUAAGACAGUUGUGAAAUCCCCGGGCUCAACCUGGGAACUGCAUCUGUGACUGCAUCGCUGGAGUACGGUAGAGGGGGAUGGAAUUCCGCGUGUAGCAGUGAAAUGCGUAGAUAUGCGGAGGAACACCGAUGGCGAAGGCAAUCCCCUGGACCUGUACUGACGCUCAUGCACGAAAGCGUGGGGAGCGAACAGG